GCAAACCUAUGCACCCAAAGAACUUCAUAUGUUAGUACUGUACGGAGCUGCAAAAGAUAGCAUGGCUUCACGUACACUUCUCUACCUCUCGCUCUUUGCGUUCUGUGUCCUGGUUGCCAUGGUAACAUUGACAGAGGCCCAUGACGUGGACACCGCCGACACGGACCUCCAGCACCGAGUUGAGAGGCGGAGUUUGACCGAGGCACUCCUGGCGACGAGAUCAGUCAACACCGAGGGAGAGACGGGAGACACGGGCAGGAGAAAGGGUCGACGAGGGAAGAAAGGACGUGGGAAAGGAAAAGGGAGGAGAAAGGGAAGAAAAAACAAAGGACCACCGCAAUAUACCGCUUGCAUACACCCAGCCAACGGUUUGACAUGCACCUGUGACAUGAGAUUUGAGAAGUUCAAGAAUCAUCCCGUCAAACAGUACAAAUAUUACACGAUUUGCUAAGUGAUGGCAGAGCUUCCAAGAUUGAAGCGAGGACAGAAGUACCUCGAACGAAUGGACAACAAACAUCUAGGCCUAAGUCAACAACUAAGUCACAACAUAGCUUCAUGUUCACAUCAUGACGGGGGCGCAUGAACCCACAGCGCGCCUUGCCUGUGGCUUCCAAGGACGAUGACGCACAAGGCCCGUGUGCCGUGUGUCAAAGACGACAAGGCCGCCCUGAUUUUUCCCCUGACAAGUACAGUACAUGUACAGUAUUUGACGCCCAAGUUGAAAAACUGAACAAAGGUAAAAAGAAGAACAACUCGCGGUUGGUUGAAGGCUGGAUUUUUUUCAGAGGAUGUAACGAGUCUCCAAUUUCAGAACCAAAUCGGUCAUAUGCUCGAAUUUGAAAGCAUCGUCUGAAGGAAAGCCAACACACAACCAAAUAAUAGGGCCCAAGAGUUGAGGAGAAAUGUCGGUACAUAACUUCAAGUUCCUCUGUCGCUUCAGUGAAAUCCCACAAGACUUCCUGAGUUUCAAAUCCUAACAGAUUAUGACUUGCUUCGUAAAGUUUAUACUUGUUGACUGCUUUAUACCUGUAUAUUAUAUUUGUAUUAAACCUAUUUUCACUAUUACGCCUUUGCUGAAAUGUUAUUGUUUCAUGAGUGGAUUUUACUGCUGCUUGACGAUAAAAAAUGAUUUGCACUUUUAUUAAGAAACAGAAUUUCAAGUAAUAACGUUUGCUGCAUUUAUUUUAACAACCAGUUCAGUACAGAGAUAAUCAAUAAUUAGUUAAUUACAGGAACAGGGAAGAAUGAGGAAGCACUAAUGACUGUGGGUUGUCGAAGGCGUGAGUUCAAUAAAUUGAUGGCUGAGAUCGAGAUAGAUAGAAAAUGGAAUAUGGAAGGGCUGCAUAGCACCGUGAUCAGAAUAUCGACAAGAACAUAAAAUCAGUGCUCUGAAAUACGUGAUU